rnacentral:rRNA from 1 species
UACGUAGGGUGCAAGCGUUAAUCGGAAUUACUGGGCGUAAAGCGUGCGCAGGCGGUUUUGUAAGUCUGACGUGAAAUCCCCGGGCUUAACCUGGGAAUUGCGUUGGAGACUGCAAGGCUGGAGUCUGGCAGAGGGGGGUAGAAUUCCACGUGUAGCAGUGAAAUGCGUAGAGAUGUGGAGGAACACCGAUGGCGAAGGCAGCCCCCUGGGUUAACACUGACGCUCAGGCACGAAAGCGUGGGGGAGCAAACGAGG